UGGGGAAUCUUAGACAAUGGGCGCAAGCCUGAUCUAGCCAUGCCGCGUGGACGAUGAAGGCCCUAGGGUUGUAAAGUCCUUUCGGGGGGGUAAGAUAAUGACGGUACCCCCGAGAAGAAGCCCCGGCUAACUCCGUGCCAGCAGCCGCGGUAAUACGGAGGGGCUAGCGUUGUUCGGAAUUACUGGGCGUAAAGCGCACGUAGGCGGAUGUUCAAGUCGGGGGUUGAAAUCCCGGGGCUCAACCCCGGAACUGCCUCCGAUACUGGACGUCUGGAGGCCGGGAGAGGUGAGCGGAAUUCCGAGUGUAGAGGUGAAAUUCGUAGAUAUUCGGAGGAACACCAGUGGCGAAGGCGGCUCACUGGCCCGGUACUGACGCUGAGGUGCGAAAGCGUGGGGAGCGAA
rnacentral:rRNA from 1 species